rnacentral:rRNA from 2 species
GACGAACGCUGGCGGCGUGCUUAACACAUGCAAGUCGAGCGGUAAGGCCCUUCGGGGUACACGAGCGGCGAACGGGUGAGUAACACGUGGGUGAUCUGCCUCGCACUUCGGGAUAAGCCUGGGAAACUGGGUCUAAUACCGGAUAUGACUUGCUGUCGCAUGGCGGUGGGUGGAAAGAUUUAUCGGUGCGAGAUGGGCCCGCGGCCUAUCAGCUUGUUGGUGGGGUAAUGGCCUACCAAGGCGACGACGGGUAGCCGGCCUGAGAGGGCGACCGGCCACACUGGGACUGAGACACGGCCCAGACUCCUACGGGAGGCAGCAGUGGGGAAUAUUGCACAAUGGGCGAAAGCCUGAUGCAGCGACGCCGCGUGAGGGAUGACGGCCUUCGGGUUGUAAACCUCUUUCGACAGGGACGAAGCGCAAGUGACGGUACCUGUAGAAGAAGCACCGGCCAACUACGUG